rnacentral:tRNA from 1 species
GCGACAGGUAGAGCGGCACAGGACUCGUGUCGGUCCACGCCCGGCCGGGCAUCAGGAGUCGGCCGACGACCGGUUCGUUCGAGUCGUAGUCGUUGCC